rnacentral:rRNA from 1 species
CCCCUAGAUGUUCUGGGCCGCACGCGCGCUACACUGAACAGUUCAACAAGUCUUAACCUUGGCCGAUAGGUCUGGGUAAUCUUUGAACGCUGUUCGUGACUGGGAUAGACCUUUGCAAUUAUGGGUCUUGAACGAGGAAUGCCUAGUAAUCGUAGGUCAUCAGCCUGCGAUGAUUACGUCCCUGCCCUUUGUACACACCGCCCGUCGCUCCUACCGAUUUCGAGUGGUUCGGUGAACCUUUCGGACCGGCAAUGCCUCGUGUUGCGCCGGAAAGUCAAGUAAACCAUAUCACUUAGAGGAAGGAGAAGUCGUAACA